AUCAUAUAAGAACGGCUAAAAGUAGGUUUACGCCGUCGGGAGCACCGGGAAAUUUCCCGGUGGCCUGAGGGUCGUUUUGGCCUGCCGUGAAUAGUCAACUUGACCAGCCAUAAUACAGCAAGCAGGAAUGAGUUGACAGAGAAUCCACUCAUCGAGACUCUCUCUCUGCAGUGUCCCCGCGCGAGGAUGCGCGCGCCAAAAAUGACAUCAGGUCUCUCCGCGACGCACAUAGCAACGGUCUACCUGCUUCUCUACCAAAAACAUUUUAGACAAGUCGCACGGCGAAAUGGACGGUCAGAAAAGGAAAGGUGGAGCAGAGAGGGAGAGAAUAAAAAAGAGAAAGGCCCAUGCCACAGACGCUGCAAAAUAAGCAACAUGUUCGCCUGUAAGGGACCAGGUGGAGAAGAAAGCAGCAGCAGCACUAGAGCUUCAGGUGCUCCUGCAGAACUGGAGAUGGUGGUCAGUACAGAGUCAGACUAAGAGCAGGGUCCUUCAGAGCAACCAGAUGUGCAGAGAGAGAGAGAGAGGUUCAGAGCCCAGUACAGGGAAAAUAGAAAGGGACAGCGAAAGCACUGAAAAUCCAUUUGAUUAUUUUGCCCGUCCUCAGUCCAAGGAUUUUGACUUAUUUUUUCAGUACCACCCAAAACAAACCCCUCAAAGAGUCAUUCCCAAUAUAUUCCACUAUAAAGAUGUCACAAACAGAAAAUGUCUGACAUACUAUGAAGUAACUCACUCCUUGUUCUGCUCAGUUUGUCUUGCAUUCGCAAAACCUUCAGCCAGUGAUAGUGGAUUUGUCAAAGGAGGCAUGCAGGCUUGGAAACAUGCCCAUCAGAGAGUAC